rnacentral:misc_RNA from 1 species
GAUGAAGAACGUAGCGAAAUGCGAUAAGUAGUGUGAAUUGCAGAAUUCAGUGAAUCAUCGAAUCUUUGAACGCACAUUGCGCCCCUUGGUAUCCCGAGGGGCAUGCCUGUUCGAGCGUCAUUUCACCACUCAAGCCUGGCUUGGUGUUGGGCGACGUCCCCUUUGGGGACGCGCCUCGAAACGCUCGGCGGCGUGGCACCGGCUUUAAGCGUAGCAGAAUCUUUCGCUUUGGAAGUCGGGGCCCCGUCUGCCGGAAGACCUACUCACAAGGUUGACCUCGGAGCAGGCAGGGAUACCCGCUGAACUUAAGCAUAUCAAUAAGCGGAGGA